AACGAACGCUGGCGGCAUGCCUAACACAUGCAAGUCGAACGAGACCUUCGGGUCUAGUGGCGCACGGGUGCGUAACGCGUGGGAACCUGCCCUUAGGUUCGGAAUAACUCCCCGAAAGGGGUGCUAAUACCGGAUAAUGUCUUCGGACCAAAGAUUUAGCGCCUUUGGAUGGGCCCGCGUUGGAUUAGCUAGUUGGUAGGGUAAAAGCCUACCAAGGCGACGAUCCAUAGCUGGUCUGAGAGGAUGAUCAGCCACACUGGGACUGAGACACGGCCCAGACUCCUACGAGAGGAAGCAGUGGGGAAUAUUGGACAAUGGGCGAAAGACUGAUCCAGCAAUGCCGCGUGAGUGAUGAAGGCCUUAGGGUUGUAAAGCUCUUUUACCCGGGAUGAUAAUGACAGUACCGGGAGAAUAAGCUCCGGCUAACUCCGUG
rnacentral:rRNA from 1 species